rnacentral:rRNA from 1 species
UAACGCGUGGGUAACCUGCCUCAUACAGGGGGAUAACAGUUAGAAAUGACUGCUAAUACCGCAUAAGCGCACAGUACCACAUGGUACGGGUGUGAAAAACUCCGGUGGUAUGAGAUGGACCCGCGUCUGAUUAGCUAGUUGGUGAGGUAACGGCUCACCAAGGCGACGAUCAGUAGCCGACCUGAGAGGGUGAUCGGCCACAUUGGGACUGAGACACGGCCCAG